AUUGAACGCUGGCGGUAUGCUUAACACAUGCAAGCCGAACGGUAACAGGCCUUCGGGUGCUGACGAGUGGCGGACGGGUGAGUAACGCGUAGGAAUCUGCCUCAUAGUGGGGGACAACGUGGGGAAACUCACGCUAAUACCGCAUACGCCCUACGGGGGAAAGCGGGGGAUCUUCGGACCUCGCGCUAUGAGAUGAGCCUGCGUUAGAUUAGCUAGUUGGUAGGGUAAAGGCCUACCAAGGCGACGAUCUAUAGCUGGUCUGAGAGGACGAUCGGCCACACUGGGACUGAGACACGGCCCAGACUCCUACGGGAGGCAGCAGUGGGGAAUAUUGGACAAUGGGCGCAAGCCUGAUCCAGCAAUACCGCGUGUGUGAAGAAGGCCCUAGGGUUGUAAAGCACUUUCAAUAGGGAGGAAAACCUGCCGGUCAAUACCCGGCAGCUUGACAUUACCUAUAGAAGAAGCACCGGCUAACUCCGUGCCAGCAGCCGCCGUAAGAC
rnacentral:rRNA from 1 species